AUUACUAUGUCGAUACGAGCAGUUAUACGUAUGGGAUAAAAUAUACAAGGCCCUUGCAAAUUGAGAUAAAAAUAAUCAUUUUCUCUCUUCUGCGUGGUCUGGACAUUG
rnacentral:snoRNA from 1 species